GCAAACCACUCCAGUAUCUUUGCCAAAAAAACUCCAAAUGUGGUCAUGAAGAGUCAGAUGUGACUGAAAAACAAAGCUAUUGUGACAUAACAAAGUCAAGAUGUAAUAAUUAACUUGCCACUACUGAAUCUUGAAUUUCCUCCCUUUAAAAAAAUUAGGAAACAACUGAACAAUUUUGGAUUGCCAUUGGCACUAGCGUGGAUCUCCAGGUCAACUUUCUGUUUUGACUGAUCUAUUUGUUUGAUAGAGGAAAUUUCAUCUGCCAAGGCAGCUGAGUACCUUCUCUUCAACUUAAGAGUCUAAAAGUCACCCAAGGUUACUGAAAAGUUAAAUGAUUUGCCCAAGCUCACAUAGUCCAGUCAAAUCACAAGCACUUACUAAGCACUUACUAUGUGCCCGGCACUGUACUAAUCACUGAAUACAAACAAAAAAAAAGACAGUCUCUUACCUUAACAAGCUCACGUUCAAAUGUGGGAAGACAUAUCAAGGGGAAGAGAGUCCAUGGAUAGCGGGCAUGGUGGCUAAGUACAGAGAAUGAAGGAUGGCCGAUCUGCGCCCUUCCUCAAAAUGGAUAUUCUGAGAGGAACCAAUGGGAGAAAAGGACCACCAGAGUAGAGGGAGAAGGCAGCUGAAACACAGUGGCAAAAUCUAGAGAGUGAAGCAUGGCUGGUCUGGACCUUUCCUCAAAAUGGAGGUUCCAGGAGGAACUGGCUAAUGGAAGGAGGCCACAAGUACAGAGGAAGAAGGAAAGUGUAUGGUACACACAAGGCCAGAACCCAAGUCUCCCUGACUUAAAAGCCAACUCCUUAUUCCACUAUUCCUUGCUACCUUCAAUUUUCUGUGUUACAUGGUCUUAAGUAAAAGAACAAAAACAACCCA